AGAUGGGAGCUUGCUCCCUGAUGUUAGCGGCGGACGGGUGAGUAACACGUGGGUAACCUGCCUGUAAGACUGGGAUAACUCCGGGAAACGGGGCUAAUACCGGAUGCUUGUUUGAACCGCAUGGUUCAAACAUAAAAGGUGGCUUCGGCUACCACUUACAGAUGGACCCGCGGCGCAUUAGCUAGUUGGUGAGGUAAUGGCUCACCAAGGCGACGAUGCGUAGCCGACCUGAGAGGGUGAUCGGCCACACUGGGACUGAGACACGGCCCAGACUCCUACGGGAGGCAGCAGUAGGGAAUCUUCCGCAAUGGACGAAAGUCUGACGGAGCAACGCCGCGUGAGUGAUGAAGGUUUUCGGAUCGUAAAGCUCUGUUGUUAGGGAAGAACAAGUACCGUUCGAAUAGGGCGGUACCUUGACGGUACCUAACCAGAAAGCCACGGCUAACUACGUGCCAGCAGCCGCGGUAAUACGUAGGUGGCAAGCGUUGUCCGGAAUUAUUGGGCGUAAAGGGCUCGCAGGCGGUUUCUUAAGUCUGAUGUGAAAGCCCCCGGCUCAACCGGGGAGGGUCAUUGGAAACUGGGGAACUUGAGUGCAGAAGAGGAGAGUGGAAUUCCACGUGUAGCGGUGAAAUGCGUAGAGAUGUGGAGGAACACCAGUGGCGAAGGCGACUCUCUGGUCUGUAACUGACGCUGAGGAGCGAAAGCGUGGGGAGCGAACAGGAUUAGAUAC
rnacentral:rRNA from 1 species